rnacentral:rRNA from 1 species
AGAACCCCGGCGAGGGGAGUGAAAAAGAACCUGAAACCGUGUACGUACAAGCAGUGGGAGCACAGGUUUACCUGUGUGACUGCGUACCUUUUGUAUAAUGGGUCAGCGACUUAUAUUCUGUAGCAAGGUUAACCGUAUAGGGGAGCCGUAGGGAAACCGAGUCUUAACCGGGCGUUAAGUUGCAGGGUAUAGACCCGAAACCCGGUGAUCUAGCCAUGGGCAGGUUGAAGGUUGGGUAACACUAACUGGAGGACCGAACCGACUAAUGUUGAAAAAUUAGCGGAUGACCUGUGGCUGGGGGUGAAAGGCCAAUCAAACCGGGAGAUAGCUGGUUCUCCCCGAAAGCUAUUUAGGUAGCGCCUCGUGAAUUCAUCUCCGGGGGUAGAGCACUGUUUCGGCUAGGGGGCCAUCCCGGCUUACCAACCCGAUGCAAACUGCGAAUACCGGAGAAUGUUAUCACGGGAGACACACGGCGGGUGCUAACGUCCGUCGUGAAGAGGGAAACAACCCAGACCGCCAGCUAAGGUCCCAAAGUCAUGGUUAAGUGGGAAACGAUGUGGGAAGGCCCAGACAGCCAGGAUGUUGGCUUAGAAGCAGCCAUCAUUUAAAGAAAGCGUAAUAGCUCACUGGUCGAGUCGGCCUGCGCGGAAGAUGUAACGGGGCUAAACCAUG